GAUGAACGCUGGCGGCGUGCUUAACACAUGCAAGUCGAACGGGAAUUAUUUUAUUGCAACUUCGGUCGAUUUAAUUUAAUUCUAGUGGCGGACGGGUGAGUAACGCGUGGGUAACCUGCCUUAUACAGGGGGAUAACAGUCAGAAAUGGCUGCUAAUACCGCAUAAGCGCACAGAGCUGCAUGGCUCAGUGUGAAAAACUCCGGUGGUAUAAGAUGGACCCGCGUUGGAUUAGCUGGUUGGUGGGGUAACGGCCCACCAAGGCGACGAUCCAUAGCCGGCCUGAGAGGGUGAACGGCCACAUUGGGACUGAGACACGGCCCAGACUCCUACGGGAGGCAGCAGUGGGGAAUAUUGCACAAUGGGGGAAACCCUGAUGCAGCGACGCCGCGUGAAGGAAGAGGUAUCUCGGUAUGUAAACUUCUAUCAGCAGGGAAGAUAGUGACGGUACCUGACUAAGAAGCCCCGGCUAACUACGUG
rnacentral:rRNA from 1 species